ACACUGGCUUUUUAAAAGCCACAAAACAAUCAAAAGAACUGUUAU
rfam:Rhodnius prolixus Rhodnius_prolixus-3.0.3-351.6, whole genome shotgun sequence.